rnacentral:rRNA from 1 species
UACGGAGGAUGCAAGCGUUAUCCGGAAUGAUUGUGCGUAAAGGGUCCGCAGGUGGCAAUGUAAGUCUGCUGUCAAAGAAUGAGGCUUAACCUCAUCAAGGCAGUGGAAACUACGUAGCUAGAGUACGGUCGGGGUAGAAGGAAUUCCUGGUGUAGCGGUGAAAUGCGUAGAGAUCAGGAAGAACACCGGUGGCGAAGGCGUUCUGCUAGACCUGUACUGACACUGAGGGACGAAAGCUAGGGGAGCGAAUGGG